rnacentral:rRNA from 1 species
UACGUAUGGAGCAAGCGUUAUCCGGAUUUACUGGGUGUAAAGGGAGCGCAGGCGGCUUUGCAAGUCUGAUGUGAAAGGCCGGGGCUCAACCCCGGGACUGCAUUGGAAACUGUAAAGCUAGAGUGCCGGAGAGGUAAGCGGAAUUCCUAGUAUAGCGGUGAAAUGCGUAGAUAUUAGGAGGAACACCAGUGGCGAAGGCGGCUUACUGGACGGCAACUGACGCUGAGGCUCGAAAGCGUGGGGAGCAAACAGG